rnacentral:tRNA from 1 species
GGUGGCUCAGUGGUAGAGUACUUGCCUAGCAUGCAUGAGGCCCUGGGUUCAAUUCCUCAGUACCA